GAUAACUCCGGGAAACCGGGGCUAAUACCGGAUGGUUGUUUGAACCGCAUGGUUCAAACAUAAAAGGUGGCUUCGGCUACCACUUACAGAUGGACCCGCGGCGCAUUAGCUAGUUGGUGAGGUAACGGCUCACCAAGGCAACGAUGCGUAGCCGACCUGAGAGGUGUGAUCGGCCACACUGGGACUGAGACACGGCCCAGACUCCUACGGGAGGCAGCAGUAGGGAAUCUUCCGCAAUGGACGAAAGUCUGACGGAGCAACGCCGCGUGAGUGAUGAAGGUUUUCGGAUCGUAAAGCUCUGUUGUUAGGGAAGAACAAGUACCGUUCGAAUAGGGCGGUACCUUGACGGUACCUAACCAGAAAGCCACGGCUAACUACGUGCCAGCAGCCGCGGUAAUACGUAGGUGGCAAGCGUUGUCCGGAAUUAUUGGGCGUAAAGGGCUCGCAGGCGGUUAUCUUAAGUCUGAUGUGAAAGCCCCCGGCUCAACCGGGGAGGGUCAUUGGAAACUGGGGAACUUGAGUGCAGAAGAGGAGAGUGGAAUUCCACGUGUAGCGGUGAAAUGCGUAGAGAUGUGGAGGAACACCAGUGGCGAAGGCGACUCUCUGGUCUGUAACUGACGCUGAGGAGCGAAAGCGUGGGGAGCGAACAGGAUUAGAUACCCUGGUAGUCCACGCCGUAAACGAUGAGUGCUAAGUGUUAGGGGGUUUCCGCCCCUUAGUGCUGCAGCUAACGCAUUAAGCACUCCGCCUGGGGAGUACGGUCGCAAGACUGAAACUCAAAGGAGUUGACGGGGGCCCGCACAAGCGGUGGAGCAUGUGGUUUAAUUCGAAGCAACGCGAAGAACCUUACCAGGUCUUGACAUCCUCUGACAAUCCUAGAGAUAGGACGUCCCCUUCGGGGGCAGAGUGACAGGUGGUGCAUGGUUGUCGUCAGCUCGUGUCGUGAGAUGUUGGGUUAAGUCCCGCAACGAGCGCAACCCUUGAUCUUAGUUGCCAGCAUUCAGUUGGGCACUCUAAGGUGACUGCCGGUGACAAACCGGAGGAAGGUGGGGAUGACGUCAAAUCAUCAUGCCCCUUAUGACCUGGGCUACACACGUGCUACAAUGGACAGAACAAAGGGCAGCGAAACCGCGAGGUUAAGCCAAUCCCACAAAUCUGUUCUCAGUUCGGAUCGCAGUCUGCAACUCGACUGCGUGAAGCUGGAAUCGCUAGUAAUCGCGGAUCAG
rnacentral:rRNA from 1 species